rnacentral:rRNA from 1 species
AUUGAACGCUGGCGGCAGGCCUAACACAUGCAAGUCGAACGGUAGCACAGAGAGCUUGCUCUCGGGUGACGAGUGGCGGACGGGUGAGUAACGUCUGGGAAACUGCCCGAUGGAGGGGGAUAACUACUGGAAACGGUAGCUAAUACCGCAUAACGUCGCAAGACCAAAGUGGGGGACCUUCGGGCCUCACACCAUCGGAUGUGCCCAGAUGGGAUUAGCUAGUAGGUGGGGUAAUGGCUCACCUAGGCGACGAUCCCUAGCUGGUCUGAGAGGAUGACCAGCCACACUGGAACUGAGACACGGUCCAGACUCCUACUGGAGGCAGCAGUGGGGAAUAUUGCACAAUGGGCGCAAGCCUGAUGCAGCCAUGCCGCGUGUAUGAAGAAGGCCUUCGGGUUGUAAAGUACUCUCAGCGGGGAGGAAGGCGGUGAAGUUAAUAACUUCACCGAUUGACGUUACCCGCAGAAGAAGCACCGGCUAACUCCGUGCCAGCAGCCGCCGUAA